UCUGUUAUUAUUUAAUCCAAUCUCUCUGUCUUUUGAUUAGAGAAUCUAAUAAAAUAUGUUGACAUUUAGUAUAAUAAGUAGUAUACUUGAUUUUAGUUUUUUAAUCUUAUUUUUUGCUUAUAUUUAGUUUAUUCUUCAAUGACCUCUUUCUUCAUUUUUCUGGUUUGCUCAAAUUCCUCCUUGUUAACUUGAGAAAUCUGAUGAACUUUUAUAUCCCAUUAAUAACUGCCUUCCAUUCUCAGGCACUAACAAUCUAUUUUUUCAUUUUACAAAAAUAAAAUAACUUUUCCCCACCUAUGUCCAGACACUCUGUUCUCCCAAUACUUUCCCCAAUCUAAGAAGAACACUGUCACUGCCCACCCCCCUCUCCCAUUCCUAGGUGAGAUCUUGAGAAUGAUCUUAAAUACUUCUAACCUUCUACCCAGCUGCAACUCUUGAGUCUGGCCAAGAUAAUUUAGAAUUUCUAAUUCCAGACAAUUAUUAUACCACCACUGGCAAUGUGAAUCUUCCAUGUUACUGCAUAUGACACAAUCCUCGGAAAUCAAUCUUUUUUCAUUGAAAAGCCAGUUUCAGGAAGUUCCUGUGGUGGCUCGACUGUAAGGAACCUGACUAAUAUUCAUGAGGAGGCAGGUUUGAUUCCUGGCCUCACUCAGUGAGUUAAGGAUCUUGCGUUGCUGUGAGCUGUGGUGUAGGUCACAGACACUGCAUAGAUCCUAUGUUGCUGUGGUUGUGUUGGAAGCAGGCAGCUGUAGCUCUGAUAUGCUGUAGGGUGUAGCCCUAAAAAAAAGGCAAAAAAAAAAAAAAGGCAGUUUAAUGUAAUUAUGAGCUUGGACACUGGAGUCAGAUUAUCUGGGCUUGCGUCUCAGCUCCCCUGCUUGCUAACCAUGUGUAAUUUAUGAUAAGAAAUGUAUUUGCUCCUCAUCCCCAUUUCUGGCACAGAGCUUCUAAAACCCUUGGAGUUUCUUGAGUGAUGAGAGUAAAAAAGUGUCCAAAAAAAAGCCUCAU
rnacentral:lncRNA from 1 species